AACUUCUUGGUUAGUGUCCCAAUCAAACUUGCUUGUGAUUUCAUCAGGUGGGGAACUUCCUUCAGCAAUGGAUAUCAAGAAUCUGCCCAUGAUUUAGUAGAGGCAGAGUCAAGAUUAUGGAAUACAAACUGAGACCCAGUCAACAUCUCCCAAUAUUCUCCUCCAAAAAUUUUAAAAAUAAUACCUCAAGUCAAAUUUUGGAGAGGUUGUGCUAAGAAAAGGUCAGAAGGAGACUUUUCUCCAGCCUAAGAGGUUCACAAGAAAGAUCUGUAAUGCCAUGGUGGAUAUAAGCCCAGACCACAACAGGAGAGGAGCAAGAGCAACAGCAGCAGCAGCUUUGGGAGCUCUCAGACCAGAAACAGUUGGACCACAUCCAGGAGUGUCAUGGGCUACAUGCAACAAGGGCUUGCUUGAUAUCUCUGUCUUAGAUGACCAAUAUAAGGUACCUUUUAGCUCUAAGGUUCUGCAGCUAUAUUCUAAAUAGCUAUAUUUCUUUGUAGGUCUAAGAUGAAUAAAGAAAAAAGCAUUCCAGAACUUGACUUUUUG
rnacentral:lncRNA from 1 species